rnacentral:rRNA from 1 species
GUCUUUAAGAUUAAAAUUUAAAGUUUAAUCUGCCCAAUGAAUUUUAAAUGGCCGCAGUAUAUUAACUGUGCAAAGGUAGCAUAAUAAUUAGUUUUUUAAUUGAAAGCUAGAAUGAAUGAUUUGACAAGGAAAAUACUUUUUUAUUAUUAAAUUUUAAAAUUUAAAUUUUAAAUAAAAAAGUUUAAAUUUAUUAAAAAGACGAGAAGACCCUAUAGAGUUUAAUUUUAAUUAUAAAAUAAAUAAUUUAGGAUUAUAUUAAAAUAUUUUUUAUAUAAAAAUUUUUUUGGGGUGAAUUAAAAAUUUAAUUAACUUUUUAAAUAUUUAAACAAUAAUUAUUGAUUAUUUGAUCAUAUGUUAAGAUUAAUAGAUUAAAUUACCUUAGGGAUAACAGCGUAAUUUUUUUGAAGAGUUCAAAUCGAUAAAAAAGAUUGCGACCUCGAUGUUGGAUUAAGAUAAAAAUUUAAUGUAGAAGUUAAAAUAUUAAGUCUGUUCGACUUUUAAAAUCUUACAUGAUC